UCCUCCUGCGUCACCUUGUGCAACGUGACUGUGGCUCCCUCGAUGCUGGCCCGCCCCUCGUACGGACCUGAGAGCAAGGAAAGAUUGAAGCAACUCAAUGAUGCAGCGGUGAAUUAACUGUACAAGAGUCGGCUUGACUGGACCAGCGUUCAAAGAACGACCACUAAAGGAAACAGAACAAGAAUGAAAGAAACAUACUCCUUUACCUGCAGCUGCACUGGCAGUGAGAGGCCCUGUGCUCGGCGGUGCAGGCCCCAAGGCCCUGAGCCCAAAUUGUGGAGAGCCGUCACCUCAUACUGGGAGCACAGACCUGUUCUGGCCACCAGGGGGCCCCCACUCAAUACGACAUGGUCCCCGCAUCUAAGGAACAGGAAUACAGAGGUAACAUAUUAGGCUGAUGACUGACAUUUUGGGUUGAGUGUGUCUGGCCCGGCUAUUCUUUGGGUACGGAUAAUUAGCCUUCUAUUUGCCAAUAUACACUGGGAAGAAAAAGUAUGUGAACCCUUUGGAAUUCCUUUAAUGUCUGUGUAAAUUGGUGAUAAAAUGUAGUCUGAUCAUUGAAAUCACAAUAAUAAACAGUCUGCUUAAACUAAUACUACACAAACAACUAUGUCAACAUUCACAGCCCUCGGAUUUAAUCAUGGGUUGAUCAGAUCACACAGAUGCAACUUUCCUCUUUAUCAUUCCGAUAACUCCGUGGUAAGAUGCCUAAAUCUAUAACAAAAGUUAUCCAUUCAUUUGUAGCGGCUUAUGUAGAAAAAAAGGCAGCUGUUUUGAUGGCUUUGCUUCACCUUUUGAAAUCUACUAUGGAAAUGAAAACAAAUCUUAGUGUCUGUCUAUGCUAUGUUUUUUUACUUGUCAAUGGCAUAUAUGGCAUAUGAAGCAAACUGUAGUGUUUCCUGCUGCAAAGUAA